AUUGAACGCUGGCGGCAUGCUUUACACAUGCAAGUCGAACGGCAGCGGGGGCGUUCGGCCCGCCGGCGAGUGGCGAACGGGUGAGUAAUGCAUCGGAACGUGCCCAGUCGUGGGGGAGUAACACAUCGAAAGAUGUGCUAAUACCGCAUACGUCCUGAGGGAGAAAGCGGGGGAGUCUUCGGACCUCGCGCGAUUGGAGCGGCCGAUGUCGGAUUAGCUAGUUGGUGGGGUAAAAGCCCACCAAGGCGACGAUCCGUAGCGGGUCUGAGAGGAUGAUCCGCCACACUGGGACUGAGACACGGCCCAGACUCCUACGGGAGGCAGCAGUGAGGAAUAUUGGUCAAUGGGCGAGAGCCUGAACCAGCCAAGUCGCGUGCAGGAAGAAUGUCCUAUGGAUUGUAAACUGCUUUUGCAGGGGAAUAAAGUGAGCCACGUGUGGUUUUUUGUAUGUACUCUGCGAAUAAGGAUCGGCUAACUCCGUGCC
rnacentral:rRNA from 1 species